UACGUAGGGGGCAAGCGUUGUCCGGAUUUAUUGGGCGUAAAGGGCGCGUAGGCGGCCUCCGCAAGUCGACUGUGAAAUCUCCGGGCUUAACCCGGAAAGGUCAGCCGAAACUGCGGGGCUAGAGUGCAGAAGGGGCAACUGGAAUUCUCGGUGUAGCGGUGAAAUGCGUAGAUAUCGAGAGGAACACCUGCGGCGAAGGCGGGUUGCUGGGCUGACACUGACGCUGAAGCGCGAAAGCUAGGGGAGCGAACGGG
rnacentral:rRNA from 1 species